AUAUUAUAAAGCAGGUGCGUCAAGCUCAUUCCAUUGAGGGCCUCGUGUCUGCGGGUUUUUAGUUUUUCCUUUCAAUCAAGACUUAGACAACCAGGUGAGGGGAGUUAUUUACUAAUUAGCGACAAUUAAUCAAGUACAAGAGAGGAGCGAAAACCUGCAAACACUCCGCCCUUCGUGGAAUAAGUUUGACAGUUGGUGUAGAGAAUCUUUGAAUCAUCUAAAUCGCUGUUAACUAUAUUUUCCACAACCAAAAAUAUUGUAUUUUCAGCUGUGUGAAGCUGGUGUACAAAACCAAAAGACACAAAAAUGAAACUUAAGAACGGAAGCAUAGAAAUAGCGCACAUAGAACGGAUGUACCACUUCUUAGACUUGCUUUAAAUGACAAUGACAGAUCUAUAACUUACAUUUAUAUGGGAAUUUUGUUGGGUUGCCAAAAAGUUACAUACUACAGCUUUAAUUCGUUUUUAUUACUUUAAACAUGUAUUUCUGGUCCCACCCCUGUAAACAAUUUUCAAGUACAGAAGCAAGUGCAUACAGAAUUAAGUGCAUUUUCCUCAACCUUCCCUCACUUUGCAGCUUUCCUUACGCUGGGUGUGUCCCCACGUGACUCACAUUUCAGGGAAAGCUGUGAUGUCAGGUGGACUUCAGUUAGGUGUUAGCAAGACUAUCUUCCUUCCGCCUCUCUUCAAUAACCUUCAAACUUUUUUGAAACGAGGAGAGAGUAUGCUGGAGUUAAGUAUUUUGGAUUGAGAAAAGGCCAUGGGCUUUAAAAGUGAUCUCAAAUAGAGUGCCACUGUAUGAGACAUAAUACCCAUAAAAUGUAGCAGUCAAACAGGGAAAUGGUUCCAAUUGUUUUUCCACCAUUAAUUUUUCCCAUAGGGGAUUUUAGAAACACUUAAAAUAAGGGCUGUGUUUUGUGUAGGCGUACCCUAUUGUGAUGUUUUGAUAACCAUGUAAAUCUCUCGAGGACAAGGUGACUUUUAUCAAUAUAUUUGCCUGUAUUCACCCCGUAAAAAUUAAAUGCUAAUUAGCUGCUAAUGUGGCUAUCAUAAAGAACUACAAAUGCCAUGAUGAUUUGGCAAAGGUAAGAAUCUCUGGAUUAACUAUCUAACGUUAGCAAAGGUGUCAGCUAGAGAUGACAUGUAUGAGCUUGCAGGGAUUUGUAGUUUUACAUGUCUAUUUUACGCUAAUUAGCAUUUUCAAAUCUGAGAGUAAAUGGAGCCGAAUAUAUUGACAAGUCACCUUGUCCAAGUGAGGAAUUACAUGGUAGAGUUCGCGCCCCCCUCACGUAUCAGAUGUCCUUGUCAGUCAUCCAACAUGUAUGGGUGUGUUCAUUAUGGCCAAAUAGUGCAAGCUAAAACUCCCAUGCAGUGCUUUUUUAAGGUGGAAUGGGGGUAAUGCUGUGCUAUUUGAAUGUUUUGACAAUUAAAAGACUGACCUUAAAUACAUGGCGAGGGAGAGUUAUCACAAAAUGGCAUUGAACAAGGACUGCAACUUUUUCGGAUUAUUUAAAAUUCUGACAAAUAGCCUAGGUGUUUUCACUAGAAACAAAACGGAAGCAAACAGAGAGGGACCUACCUCAAUAUCUCCAAACUCGUUUCAUUGCAAAAUGUUUUCGCUAUGGUGUGCAUUAGUCUAAUGAAUACACCCUAGGUCUUGACAUCUGAAAAUAAAUAGCCUUGAAGUCUAGGCUAUAAAUUAGUGGCCUAUAUAUGAAUUCUGAAGAUGACUUAUUUGUCAUGUUUGCAUGCCAUUAUGAAAGAUAAGAAGUUUAAAACUCAUGUGACUUGUGUAAAUGCUUCUGUCCUCUGUAGAUCAUGUGUCUCCUAGUAAACUCAGCAAAAAGAGAAACGUCCUCUCACUGUUAACUGUGUUUAUUUUCAGAAAACUUAACAUGUGUAAAUAUUUGUAUGAACAUAACAAGAUUCAACAACUGAGACAUAAACUGAACAAGUUCCACAGACAUGUGACUAACAGAAAUGGAAUAAUGUGUCCCUGAACAAAGGGGGGGUCAAAAUCAAAAGUAACAGUAUCUGGUGUGGCCACCAGCUGCAUUAAGUACUGCAGAGCAUCUCCUCCUCAUGGACUGCACCAGAUUUUAAAUUUCUUGCUGUGAGAUGUUACCCCACUGUUCCACCAAGGCACCUGCAAGUUCCCGGACAUUUCUGUGGGGAAUCGCCCUAGCCCUCACCCUCCGAUCCAACUGGUCCCAGAUGUGCUCAAUGGGAUUGAGAUCCGGGCUCUUCGCUGGCCAUGGCAAAACACUGACAUUCCUGUCUUGCAGGAAAUCACGCACAGAACGAGCAGUAUGGCAGGUGGCAUUGUCAUGCUGGAGGGUCAUGUCAGGAUGAGCCUGCAGGAAGGGUACCACAUGAGGGAGGGGGAUGUCUUGCCUGUAACGCACAGCGUUGAGAUUGCCUGCAAUGACAACAAGCUCAGUCCGAUGAUGCUGUGACACACUGCCCCAGAACAUGACGGACCCUCCAAAUCGAUCCCGCUCCAGAGUACAGGCCUCGGUGUAACGCUCAUUCCUUCGACAAUAAACGCAAAUCCGACCAUCACCCGUGGUGAGAUAAAACCGCGAUUCGUCAGUGAAGAGCACAUUUUGCCAGUCCUGUCUGGUCCAGCGAUGGUGGGUUUGUGCCCAUAGGCGACAUUGUUGCCAAUGAUGUCUGGUGAGGACCUACAAGCCCUCAGUCCAGCCUCUCUCAGCCUAUUGCGGACAGUCUGAGCACUGAUGGAGGGAUUGUGUGUUCCUGGUGUAACUCGGGCAGUUGUUGUUGCCAUCCUGUACCUGUCCCGCAGGUGUGAUGUUCGGCUGUACCGAUCCUGUGCAGGUGUUGUUACACGUGGUCUGCCACUGCGAGGACGAUCAGCUGUCCGUCCUGUCUCCCUGUAGCGCUGUCUUAGGCGUCUCACAGUACAAACAUUGCAAUUUAUUGCCCUGGCCACAUCUGCAGUCCUCAUGCCUCCUUGCAGCAUGCCUAAGGCAUGUUCACGCAGAUGAGCAGAGACCCUGGGCAUCUUUCUUUUGGUGUUUUUCAGAGUCAGUAGAAAGGUCUCUUUAGUGUCCUAAGUUUUCAUAACUGUGACCUCAAUUGCCUACCGUCUGUAAGCUGUUAGUGUCUUAAUGACCGUUACACAGGUGCAUGUUCAUUAAUUCUUUAUGGUUCAUUGAACAAGCAUGGGAAACGGUGUUUAAACCCUUUACAAUGAAGAUCUGUGAAGUUAUUUGGAUUUUUACAAAUUAUCUUUGAGAAGCCGGGUCCUGAAAAAGGGACGUUUCUUUUUUUGCUGAGUUUAUUACUGAGUGCCUUAUUUAUUUAUGGGUGAGUAUAGUGCCAUCUGUACUUCACCUCUCUCUCUCUUUCAAAUACACACGCACACCUCCCAUCUGUUACUCAUCUGUCUUUGAAACCCUCAGGGUCAGUUGUUGAAGAGGUUGAGGUGUAAUACGGCAGAGAAUACAUGAUGCCACAAUGACAUUUCAAUUUUGUUUACCAAACUUCUUCCAACCAAUUUCCCCCUGGGGUCCCAAGAAGCUUGGGUUGGACGGACCUGAGAUGAGCUGUUUUGGAAUAAGCUGAAGGACCCACGCUACAUAAGUAGGACCUACAACUCCUUGACAGUACCAAAUGUGAUGGAAAAAAAUAUUCCCAUCCCCCUCUAUCAUGCUUGAUAGACAUUCCCAGUCUUCAAGUUGAAGGGUCUGCCGUAAUUAUGGGGAGAAGUACGCCCUGCAGGACUUUACUGCCUGGGGCUCUACCUCUCAGCCGGUGGUCCAGUGGAACCGCACAAACCUAGGGACCUUCAAUGGGGAGGGGGGAGUCUGGAGGGUAGAAUGUGGGUGUUAAGGGAUCUCACCCAGGCACACUCGGGCCACUAUGCCCUCCAAGGCACUGACAGGAGGUUGAUAUCUACAACGAUGCUUAAUGUCACAGCUGAGGGAAGAUUCUGCCUACAACUUUCACUUUUAUCUUGUUUGUCAUUUCCCCUCACCCCAAAUAAUUUAACAUUAUUUUUAUUAUAUCACUCGCUAAUGCAAUGCGUGUGAAUGUCUCUCUCAGCACGUAGUACUCUAGGUCUUUCGGUUACUGUGUUCAUUGUCAUCAUUGCUGAGGUGGCUGCAUGCUGCUGUGUGAAGAAGUGUUGCUGCAAGACUGAGACCCCCAAACUAGACGGCUCUGUUCCUAUGCCAGGACAGCCGAUGGUGUAAAUACUACUACAACAAACCAACAUGUGUAUCAAGGUCUAACAGGAGGAUGUUAACUCCCACAAUAUAUUUUGGGGAAUAUUUAACUUUGUGUAUGGUUUUCAGGAUAACUGUGAACCUUCUGCACCAAUUUUCCGUAGCCACCCCAGGAAACCAGCUUUACCUGUAGGUGUAUUCUCUCCUCUUUUAUUUUGCCCUCUGCCUAUUCCUUUAUUUAUUUACUAAUUUCAAAAUCUCUCACACUAUCUCUACCCCCUGAGCCAAACAGUCUCGUUGUGGACAGUGAGCCGAAUCCCUCCAAUGAGACGAGUUUUCUGAAUCCACUGCUGUACAAUCUUGUUGUGGACAGUGAGUCUAAUCCAGCCAAUGGCAAUGAGACUACACAUGUGACUUCCCCUCAAAUCCCCCCUAUGAUAAUUCUUUGAUAUUUUCGACCCGGUGAUUUGUAUGUGUUUGUCUAAUUGGUACAAUGUGAGGAAGUCCUUAUUACUGUUCGCCUGGCAACCCAGAAUCGUUACUCUGGCCAAAAUCUACACCACUCCCACAGAUGUUAGUUUCUUCUCCACAAUAAAUCCGGAUCGGAGUACUUCCCCAACCCUUCACUGGAUGUGAACACAUUCGUGGCCGUCUGUUUGGGCCAGAGUCUGAACACACGUCGGUAAAGUGGUGGUUUGAAAAUUCGUCAUUGACUUUGAUACUCUGAUUGUUAGCGACGAUCCAAUCGCUGAUGACUUUAUUUUGUACAAUGCCCCUUGUGCCCCUCUUCACCACAAACAACUUCAAUGAUGGCAGUCUCAGACAGUAUGUAGCAAACGAUAGUGCAGCAGAAGAAGUGUGUCAGGCUAUAUUACCAAAGACUUUUUUAUAACUAACCCAAGAUAGAUCAGAACCUGUCGUUUGCAAUGGGAGCAAAUUAAUCAUAGUGGGCAGAACAAGCAUGGAGGUGGGCAGAGCCAAGCACAAGCUAGUGAGAUCCUAUUUGCGCGUUCCAGCAUUUUGCAUAUUUCCGUUAGGGAACUCCUACCCUUGCACUCUAAAACAAUGCAAAUCAAAAAAAUGCAGUCCACUCGGUGUGUUACAUAUUCUCGUUUUGGAAACAACUGUAUGGAGAUCAAAUGUUUCAUUGAUGAGGAAAUUAGCGGCCAAAAUGUCGGCCAAAAUCCAUCUCGCUCCAUCUUCUCCCACUGCCGGCCACUGUGUUUUCUCUCAUCACCAUAUUUGGUAGUGAGUGGAAACGCCAACCGGACGCUUCACAUUUAUACAUCUGGUGAAACAUCAGGCUCAUUGUUCUAUCCAUGAUAUUACUGUAUAGUUGUCAAUGUAUUGGUUCACUCUGAAAUGUUUUGGAGCACCAGCUUGUGCUAGCUGAUGUUUUGAAUAUGAAUACUGAUUUCUCAACUGAUGAACUUUGUAAUAUAAUAAACUACAAUAUAAAAAAACAUUGAUCAACAUCUCUCAUUGACUAUCACUGAAUGAUUGUAGUUCCCGCAGAACCUGUUUUGAAAUGUUCCAGGAGUUAUUUACAUUUACAUUUA
rnacentral:lncRNA from 1 species